AGUUUUAGGGGCGGGACUAGGCUAAUAGAUUAAAAACCACUUGCCGGCCUCGCCCGCCGAAAGAAGGGUGGACCAAUCGGAGUCUUGGGGGCGGGGCUAGAAAGACUAUAUUAAGAUCACUUGCCAGCCCCGCCCACUAAGGGAUGGAUGGAUCGAUCGUAGCCUUGUCUGCCCCGCCCACCGAGGGAAAGAUGGACCAAUCAGAGUCAGGGACGGGGAUGGGGGGAGCGACGACCGCUGUUUGAAGGGCGACCUCCCCUACCUAGAGACGGACGGACCAAUCAGAGCCUCGGGAAGGGGGGGCGAGAAACAAAUGAAAAAAGCCCCUCUCGGACCGGCGGGCGGAGGGGACCAAUCAGAGUCAUGCAGUUGGGGCAACGGCGGCUAUAGGAAAGCCGAACAUCCCGCCCUAGGGAGGGAUGGACCAAUCAGAGCGGGGGGGCGGGGAAUAAGACCAAUCAGAGCGGAGGGCGGAGCCUAGGACCAAUCAGAGCGGGGGGCGGGGCCUGGGACCACUAUAUAAGGUGUCGUUGCGGCUACACUCCGUCUUUUCCCCUCCGUGCGCGCUGGAGGGGGGCUGUGCGGGUGGCUGCCGGGAGGCCGAAGAGUUGGACCUAGGCGACAGCCCGCACUCUUCCCGUCCCAUCUCAAAUAAAAUAUCCACGUUCUGGA